rnacentral:rRNA from 1 species
UACGGAGGGUGCAAGCGUUAUCCGGAUUCACUGGGUUUAAAGGGUGCGUAGGCGGGCAGGUAAGUCCGUGGUGAAAUCUCUGAGCUUAACUCAGAAAACUGCCAUGGAUACUAUUUGUCUUGAAUAUUGUGGAGGUAAGCGGAAUAUGUCAUGUAGCGGUGAAAUGCUUAGAUAUACAUAGAACACCAAUUGCGAAGGCAGCUUACUACACAGUCAUUGACGCUGAGGCACGAAAGCGUGGGGAUCAAACAGG